AUUGUGCUUUGGAAAAAUCAAACGUAGCCUUGAGUUUUAAAAUUAUUAAGCUUACACUUUUUCACAAAAUAGAAAUGGAGUAAUAUAGCUCUGUCCUUCCGUUUUUUAAAGCCAAAAAAUGUAAGAAUGGAAUGUACUGGCUCACUGCUCCCACGGUGUCCUUACCAGCACAACUUACCCCAUCCCUCCCUAGCCCACUCUUGAGGAUACUUUCUUGCCACUGUCAGGCUUACUCCUGCCUCCUAGACUGAGGAAAGAAAAGCCUCCUGGUUUGGAGCUCAUAAUCAAGUCAGCCUUGCUGCAGGGCUCAUUUUAAGCCAGUAUCCUGGACCAGAUAAGGAAGCUGAAGCUUUGAGAAUUUAAUUUGCUCAAGGGGAGGCCAGGACAAGAAAUAAUGAAGAGUCCGAUGUGGCAGGAAUGUAGGAAACAAGUCAAUGAUGGAAGAUAAAUAUGGAGACGUGAUGAAGGCAAAAUUCUGAAGGGUCUUAGAGCCCAUUAUAAGACGUUUGGUUUUUAUGACUAUGCCGUGCAAGACUUGGUAAACUGGUCCCUACCGCAGAGGAUUUUAUACAGAGCACGCUAGUGGCUCACAGAAUAUUUCACUGAUUGCCUUGCCCGCUUCUCAAAGGCCCACUUCUCUGUGGAAUGAUGCAGUUGCUAAGAAGAGCUGUUAAUGUCAUGACCUCAAUGAAUAAAAAAGACUUCCUUUUCUCCAUGCCCACUCAAGUAAAAGGCUUCUCUCUGAACUCCUGCUAAUUUUUCAUCAGCAAAGGUGCACAGCCUUUUGGAAGUGAAAUGAUUACUAGUGAAGAAAAAGAAAGAACCUAACACUUAUUUUACAAGCCUCCCAGUGACCACUCUUCAGACAAAACUUCUUAUAAUAGCUUCCUUCCCUGAAUCUUUUGCGAAACAUCAAAUCACAAAGAGAUCUUAUUAUGCCAUUAAGAAUAUUUAAUUCAUGGGAGGAGGUCAAAAUAUCAACAUUAGCUGGAUUUUGGAAAAAGUGGAUUCCAACCCUCAGUGGACGACUUUGUGGAAUUCAAGACUCCAAUAGAGGAAGUCACCACAAAUAGCAAAAGAACAAGAAUUACCUGUGCAGCCUGAAGACGGGACUGAAUUGCUGCAAUUGUAACAUCAAAUGUUAAAUCUGAACCAGACCAUGUCCUGAAACAAAAGAGGAAGAAUCUUUGGGGAGCUGUGCUGAUGGUUUUGGAUUUCUCCAAAGGAAGAAUGCUUUGCCUGAGUCUUGUAUCCUUGGAAUUAUUAGGAAUGUUUGCCAUUAAAUAAGAUCUGAUUCAUGUGAGUUUGAGUUGACAGCUCUACCCUAUGUGUUAUCUCAGAACUCUAUACAGCAAACUAUAGAAUAUUGUUGAGAUAAAUUAAAUGAAACCUUUCCAAAUGGAAAGAUAUAUAUCAUUUUAUAGAUUGGAAAACUUAAUACUAAAAAGUGAUAGAUUCAAUACAAUGGAAUCUAUUGUUUCUAAAAUGUGCAUUUGUGUUAGUUUAUGUAUGUAUAUAAAAAUUGAAAAGCUAAUUUUAAAAAUACACAUGAAAAUAAAAGGGCCAAGAAGAACUGAGACAUUCUUGUGGAAGAUGUCAAUUCUUGCUGUACAGAUGCUAAGAUUACUAUAAGGCUUUAGUCAUUAAGGCAGAGUGGUAUUCCCUCAAAAAUUGACACACCACUGAAACAGAAUUGAAGGACAAAAAAGCCUCUACAUAAUUAUAGACACUUAAUUUAUGAUAACCAUGUCACUGAAGUUCACAUAGGACAGUUAUUUCAAUAAAUAUUAUUGAGACUGUGCAAGUAAAUAGAUAAAUUGGUAUAUAGGCAGACUCCUGUCCCACACAAUCCAUCAAAAUCAGCUCAUCUUAAAUGGGUUAUAAAAAGAUGUAUACAUUGCACUGACCAUAUUAUGAUUAGGAACUUCUAUUUGUUUAAAAAAUGUGAUUAUGAGAGUAAGAGCAAGCUACAGAUUGGCAGAAAACAUGUGCAUCUUAAUGAACAACAAAGGGCUCAUGCCGAGAAUAUAUAAAGAAAAACAAACCAUUCAGAAACAGACAUCCCUAUGAAAAAGUGGGCAAGAGAACUGAAGAGGCACUUCACAAAAGAAGAUAUCUAAAUGGCCAAUAACCAUAUGAAAAGGUACUGAACCCUUGUAGUAAUCAGAAAACAAUGCAUAUUAAAGCCAUAACACGGUAUUACUGCAUAACAUCAGAAUGGCUAAAAUGAAAAAGACUGACAAUACCAAGAGCUGGAAAAAAUGUGGAACAACUAGUACUCUCCAGUACUUAAUGUGGAAGCAUAAGUUUUUACAACUGCUCAUGAAAAUAAUUUGAUGUUAUCUACUAAUGUUGAAUAUCCUCA
rnacentral:lncRNA from 1 species